rnacentral:rRNA from 1 species
AUUGAACGCUGGCGGCAGGCUUAACACAUGCAAGUCGAGCGAGUGGCGGACGGGUGAGUAAUGUCUGGGAAACUGCCUGAUGGAGGGGGAUAACUACUGGAAACGGUAGCUAAUACCGCAUACACUCGGAUGUGCCCAGAUGGGAUUAGCUAGUCGGUGGGGUAAAGGCUCACCUAGGCGACGAUCCCUAGCUGGUCUGAGAGGAUGACCAGCCACACUGGAACUGAGACACGGUCCAGACUCCUACGGGAGGCAGCAGUGGGGAAUAUUGCACAAUGGGCGCAAGCCUGAUGCAGCCAUGCCGCGUGUGUGAAGAAGGCCUUCGGGUUGUAAAGUACUUUCAGCGGGGAGGCGUUACUCGCAGAAGAAGCACCGGCUAACUCCGUGCCAGCAGCCGCGGUAAUUC